rnacentral:misc_RNA from 1 species
GAUGAAGAACGUAGCGAAAUGCGAUAAGUAGUGUGAAUUGCAGAAUUCAGUGAAUCAUCGAAUCUUUGAACGCACAUUGCGCCCCUUGGUAUUCCAUGGGGCAUGCCUGUUCGAGCGUCAUUUGUACCUUCAAGCUCUGCUUGGUGUUGGGUGUUUGUCUCGCCUCUGCGUGUAGACUCGCCUCAAAACAAUUGGCAGCCGGCGUAUUGAUUUCGGAGCGCAGUACAUCUCGCGCUUUGCACUCAUAACGACGACGUCCAAAAGUACAUUUUUACACUCUUGACCUCGGAUCAGGUAGGGAUACCCGCUGAACUUAAGCAUAUCAACAAGCGGAGGA